GUAGCUCAGCUGGAUAGAGCGUAAGCCUCCGAAGCUUAAGGUCGGCCGUUCGAAUCGGCUC
rnacentral:tRNA from 1 species